rnacentral:tRNA from 1 species
GAGUUGCGGCUCAGUGGUAGAGUGCUUGCCUGGCAUGUGUGAGGUCCUGAGUUUGAUCCUCAGCACCACA